rnacentral:lncRNA from 1 species
UGCUGCUUCCCUUGAAAGGAGUGAAUUUAAGAAACACUCGAUCGCCUUUCUCAUAUUCUAAAUCCUUCCUCCAAGUGUCCGUAUAACUUUUUUGCCUGUUCUGAGCUGUCUGGAUGUUUUUUUUUUAUUUUAAUUAUCUUGGCUGUCAUCUCCUCUACAAGAUCUGAGCCAAAUAAUUUUAUAUCUUCCACCUCUUCCCUGCAGAUCGGUGACCUACUCGGUCGGCCAUAUAAUGCAUCAUAU